rnacentral:rRNA from 1 species
AUUGAACGCUGGCGGCAGGCCUAACACAUGCAAGUCGAACGAGUGGCGGACGGGUGAGUAAGGGAUGGGCAUCUGCCCGAUGGAGGGGGAUAAGUACUGGAAACGGUAGCCAAUACCGCAUACCAUCGGAUGAGCCCAGUUUGGUGUAGCUAGUGGGUGGGGUAACGGCUCACCUAGGCCACGAUCCCUAGCUGGUCUGAGAGGAUGACCGGCCACACUGGAACGGAGAAACGGUCCAGACUCCUACGGGAGGCAGCAUUGGGGAAUAGUGGACAAUGGGCGCAAGCCUGAUGCAGCCAUGCGGCGUGUGUGAAGAAGGCUUUCGGAUUGUAAAGUACUUUAAGCUGGGAGGCGUUACUAACAGAAUAAGCACCGGCUAACUCCGUGCCAGCAGCCGCGGUAAUUC